rnacentral:rRNA from 1 species
AUGAAAAUUAAUGCAUGGUGGCUUUGCCACAAAUACGAUGUCAACUACAUGAUCAUGCAAUGGCAAUAUGACAAAAGUAAAGUAUGUCAUGAUGAUGAACAGAAUGGUGGAAAGUUGCAUGUCAAUAUAUCUCGGAAUGGCUAUGGAAAUGCCAUAAUAGGUAGGUAUGGUGGCUGUUUUGAUGAAGAUAUAAGGAGGUUUAUGUGUGAUAGAGCGUAUCGUAUCACGGGGUUUCGAUGCACCGGCGAAAUUUGCACCAACUCUCAAGGUGAAAAAGGGCAAUGCACGGUACCGAAGAGGCUAGCAAUGGCGGAAAGGUAA